rnacentral:rRNA from 1 species
UACGGAGGGGGCUAGCGUUGUUCGGAAUUACUGGGCGUAAAGCGCACGUAGGCGGCUUGGUAAGUUAGAGGUGAAAGCCCGGGGCUCAACUCCGGAAUUGCCUUUAAAACUGCAUCGCUAGAAUUGUGGAGAGGUAAGUGGAAUUCCGAGUGUAGAGGUGAAAUUCGUAGAUAUUCGGAAGAACACCAGUGGCGAAGGCGACUUACUGGACACAUACUGACGCUGAGGUGCGAAAGCGUGGGGAGCAAACAGG